CAAAUGCGCUUAUCCACUUCCUGGUCAUGUAGGACAUGAUGACGAUGACUGCAAAGUCAAAGUGGUCAUUAUGUUCCAGUACUGCAAAAACGUACACAUACACAGGUGUUUUAGGAAAGAAAAAAACAAAACAACUCUUCAACUGAACAGUCAUUUUCAAUAGUCAUUUACAAAAAGAGAGACAAAAGAAAAGAAGUGAUAGGAGUCUCACAUGGACACCAUCCUUCAGCAGGGAACCAAAGGCCAUGUACUCCCCAAGAGCCCAGUCCACGGUACGCUUACUAACCAUGUCGGCGCGGCCUCGCAAGAUCC